CUGGGAGCUGCGGCGGACCCCAGCCUGCAGCGGGGGGAGAGAAAAUUACAAUGCUGUUUAUUUUUUAAUGUCUGCAGGGCAGUCAUGUUUUAACAGAGUGCAACAGUCCAGGCUGAUGGUAAAUGCCCCAAACAAUCAUCUUUGCUUAUUUUGUGACUGAUUGUUACACCUGGGAAAACGAGCUGCAUCAUGGGUAGAGCUGGCAGAAGUCCCACAGUUUCCAUAUACCAUGUGUGCCUGUAUCUGUGAGGUUUUUAUACAAAUCCCGUGCUUUAUGGGCUUGUGUCCGUGCAGAGCACAGUUGGCUUGCUCUUGUUCCCAACACAGGUAGUUCUUGUGGAAUGGAUCUGCCAUCAGCCCCUUGGAUCUUGCUCCUCUGGUAAAUGAUCUGCUCUCAGGUGAUGCCACCCAGCUGUGAUUGUUGCUGCUUGCUCACAUUACCCUGCAAUUCCUUCAUUUUGGUUUUCUGCUUGACUGGGACUGCAGCAGAGUUCUGACACAAUCUCAGCCAGGGCUCUGUUGUUCCUGGUUGAAGUCAACGAGUGCUCUGAGUGCACACAAAAAAUGCAACCCAGUGAUGCUUCCACCUGCCCAGUCCUCAAGGAAAUAUCAGCAGCCACUGAUGGGAAGAGGCUUCCUAAUUCAGAGUGAGCCCUGUUUCCCUCUGCAGGGCCUGUUCCAGUGGGGGAUGUGUAUUUUUAAUUAUCUGCUGUCCUUAUUUAAAGAGAUUUGUCCCUGCACGGUGUAAGUGUACCUCUGCUGGUUCCUUGGAGCCUCGUGCAGCUCGUUGCUGCCUGUGAGCCUUUUGUAACCAAUUCCAAAGCACCUUCAAAGCACACUCAAAUCUUGUCAGCACCGGAGCUCUUUGUAAAGCACCCCAGGACGGACAAAAGAUGCUCAUGGAGGAGUGCAUAAGGUCAUUUAAUCAGUGUGCUGCCUUCUGAAGGGGUGGGUGACCCUCUGAGGGCUGGGCUGA